rnacentral:rRNA from 1 species
UACGAAGGGGGCUAGCGUUGCUCGGAAUCACUGGGCGUAAAGCGCACGUAGGCGGCUUCUCAAGUCGGGGGUGAAAUCCUGGAGCUCAACUCCAGAACUGCCUUUGAUACUGAGGGGCUCGAGUCCGGGAGAGGUGAGUGGAACUGCGAGUGUAGAGGUGAAAUUCGUAGAUAUUCGCAAGAACACCAGUGGCGAAGGCGGCUCACUGGCCCGGUACUGACGCUGAGGUGCGAAAGCGUGGGGAGCAAACAGG